UGCGAAGGGGGCUAGCGUUGUUCGGAUUUACUGGGCGUAAAGCGCACGUAGGCGGAUCGUUAAGUCGGGGGUGAAAUCCUGGAGCUCAACUCCAGAACUGCCUUCGAUACUGGCGAUCUAGAGUCCGGAAGAGGUGAGUGGAACUCCUAGUGUAGAGGUGGAAUUCGUAGAUAUUAGGAAGAACACCAGUGGCGAAGGCGGCUCACUGGUCCGGUACUGACGCUGAGGUGCGAAAGCGUGGGGAGCAAACAGG
rnacentral:rRNA from 1 species